rnacentral:rRNA from 1 species
GACGAACGCUGGCGGCGUGCUUAACACAUGCAAGUCGAGGGCACUUUGGGGGCAACCCUGGAGUGACCGGCGAACGGGUGCGUAACACGUGAGCGACCUUGCCUCGUGGUGGGGGAUAGCCGGCCCAACGGCCGGGUAAUACCGCAUAUGGUGCUGACUCCGCAUGGAGACGGCAGCAAAGCCCUGGAGCAAUCCAGUGGCGCCACGAGGGGGGC